rnacentral:rRNA from 1 species
UUGAACGCUGGCGGCAGGCCUAACACAUGCAAGUCGAACGGUAACAGGAAGCAGCUUGCUGCUUCGCUGACGAGUGGCGGACGGGUGAGUAAUGUCUGGGAAACUGCCUGAUGGAGGGGGAUAACUACUGGAAACGGUAGCUAAUACCGCAUAACGUCGCAAGACCAAAGAGGGGGACCUUAGGGCCUCUUGCCAUCGGAUGUGCCCAGAUGGGAUUAGCUAGUAGGUGGGGUAACGGCUCACCUAGGCGACGAUCCCUAGCUGGUCUGAGAGGAUGACCAGCCACACUGGAACUGAGACACGGUCCAGACUCCUACGGGAGGCAGCUGUGGGGAAUAUUGCACAAUGGGCGCAAGCCUGAUGCAGCCAUGCCGCGUGUAUGAAGAAGGCCUUCGGGUUGUAAAGUACUUUCAGCGGGGAGGAAGGGAGUAAAGUUAAUACCUUUGCUCAUUGACGUUACCCGCAGAAGAAGCGCCGGCUAACUCCGUG